AAGUCCGAGGUCAAGGUGUCAGCAGGGUUGGCUCCUUCUGAGGCCAUGAGGAGACUCUGUCCAGGCCUCUCCUCAGCUCCUGGUGGUUGCUGGCAGUCUCUGGCAUUCCUCGGCUUGUAGAUGCAUCACCCUGACCUCCACCUUCAUCUUCACACGACGUUCUCCCUGUGUCUCCGUUUCCCCUCUUGAUAAGGGCCCCAGUCCUGUUGCGUCAGGCCCACCUUGGUGUCUGCUCUCCCAGAACAGCAGAGGAGAAUCAUGUCCCAGAUGGAGAGAGGACUGCUCAGAGUUUCAAUCUUCGGCAGAGGCAUGGAUGGAAGAUGGUCCGAUCUCUCUUCUGGCCUUUUCUCCCGGAGUCUGAGGAGGUGGUCUCCCCUCUGUUUUCGGGGCACUAUCUCCACCCGUCUGCCCUUAGCCUCCUUCGAGUUCUUUCUCACUCAAUCGUUAUCUUUCUUCAGACAUCAGUGACAUUGUCAUUUUCCAGCAGCCUGUCAGCAUUGUCCAGUUCCUCCACCCCUCUUUUCCCUCAGCGUCCUUGAAGUUAUAAGAGCCAGAAGCCCAGCUAGAACUAGGUUAGGGUGAAAAGAGAAUGUAUAAGGCAGCAGCCGUGCUGUGGGAAGAGCAGGUUUGCAGCAGGGAUCCAGAGGUCCUUGCGUCCAGGAACUGUCUGGAUUCUCUUGUUCCCUUGUCCCUGCCUCUGUGACUCCUUCUCUCAGGCUGACUUUAUCCAGGUGGCCAGAAAUAGCAAGGCCACAGCUCCCUCGCUCACAUCCACAAGUUUUACCAUAGUGAGGUCUCCUUUCGUGGAUCCGGUUUCAAAGAUCCUUGGGGAAGGUUGAUUGGUCCAGCUUGUUCAGGUGUAGGCCCUCCUUAUCCAGUCAGCCAUGCACAGUUGUGGAGGGACUGAGUCCACGGCAGGGGGUUCCCAGGAGCACCAUGUGCUUGGACGGAGGCUGGGGUCCCAGAGGAAGAUGAGGCCUCAAGGACACACAUUACAACUGUCCGUGCCAGGAAGGAGCACGUUCACAGGGUCUUGGUUUCCAUGUCUGUGCUGAAUAAAACCAGGCUGUCUGGAGGUCUGACACCUAAAACGUCUUGGACCAGGAUGAGAGGUUGAAAAUGAGGUGUGAGGCCACACCCCACCUUCUCAGAGGCAAGAGCUGGCUCCAACCGUCCAUGAAACUUGGAAGCUGGAGCUUUCAUUUGGUGUCUUUCUCAGGAAGCUGUUGUUUUGUAGGAAACCAUGUCUCGCUGGGGACUUCUUCCUUUUAGGGCGAUCUGUAAUAAAGGUAAUAACAAUAAAGGUUAUGAAAUUGUUGAG